GCUUGCUUCCGCACACAUAUAUACUAAAUUGGAAGGAAACAGAGAAGAUAAGCAUGGCCCCUGCUCCAAGGAUGACAUACCAAAUUCGUGACAUUCCAUAUUUUU